rnacentral:rRNA from 1 species
CGUUAGCGGCGGACGGGUGAGUAACACGUGGGUAACCUACCUAUAAGACUGGGAUAACUUCGGGAAACCGGAGCUAAUACCGGAUAAUAUUUCGAACCGCAUGGUUCGAUAGUGAAAGAUGGUUUUGCUAUCACUUAUAGAUGGACCCGCGCCGUAUUAGCUAGUUGGUAAGGUAACGGCUUACCAAGGCGACGAUACGUAGCCGACCUGAGAGGGUGAUCGGCACACUGGAACUGAGACACGGUCCAGACUCCUACGGGAGGCAGCAGAG